rnacentral:rRNA from 1 species
AUCGAACGCUGGCGGCAGGCCUAACACAUGCAAGUCGAACGAGUGGCGGACGGGUGAGUAAUGUCUGGGAAAAUGCCCGAAGGAGGGGGAUAACUACUGGAAACGGUAGCGAAUACCGCAUACCAUCGGAUCUGCCCAGGUGGGAGUAGCUGGUGGGUGGGGUAACGGCUCACCUAGGCGACGAUCCCUAGCUGGUCUGAGAGGAUGACCAGCCACACUGGAACUGAGACACGGUCCAGACUCCUACGGGAGGCAGCAGUUGGGAAUAUUGCACAAUGGGCGCAAGCCUGAUGCAGCCAUGCCGCGUGUAUGAAGAAGGCCUUCGGGUUGUAAAGUACUUUCAGCGAGGAGGCGUUACUCGCAGAAGAAGCACCGGCUAACUCCGUGCCAGCAGCCGCGGUAAUAC